AGCUCCAAGAAUACGCGGAGGAGGUGGCCUGGGUCGGCGUCGGCGCCGUCCGGCGCGGGCCACGGGCCCACUUCCAAGUGCGUCUGCACGCCGGCCACCCACGCCGGGUCCUUCAAGUGCCGCUUCCACCGCACCAACUCCCAGGGCCACGGCCAGGGCUAGGGAAGCCGCCCUUCUUCGCCCUCUUCACCGGCCGCGGCCAACGCGGUGCCGCGGCACCCGGCCUCGACGUCCUCGCGACCCAGUGAUGCAGCCCAAGCAUCGGCAUCGAGAAUCAAGAACGCUCGACAAUGA
rnacentral:rRNA from 1 species